UCUUGUUAAAAUGUAGCUUCUGAUUCAGCAGAUCUGGGUUGAGGCUUAAGAUUCUGCAUUUCUAACAAGUUC
rnacentral:miRNA from 1 species